GUGCCAGCAGCCGCGGUAAUACGAAGGGUGCAAACGUUGCUCGGAAUCAUUGGGCGUAAAGCGCACGUAGGCGGCUCCACAAGUCGGAUGUGAAAUCCCUCGGCUCAACCGAGGACGUGCAUCCGAAACUGUGGGGCUUGAGUACAGAAGAGGAUCGCGGAAUUCCCGGUGUAGAGGUGAAAUUCGUAGAUAUCGGGAGGAACACCAGUGGCGAAGGCGGCGAUCUGGGCUGAUACUGACGCUGAGGUGCGAAAGCGUGGGGAGCAAACAGGAUUAGAUACCCCCGUAGUCC
rnacentral:rRNA from 1 species